rnacentral:rRNA from 1 species
GACGAACGCUGGCGGCGUGCCUAAUACAUGCAAGUCGAGCGAGGCCUUCGGGCCUAGCGGCGGACGGGUGAGUAACACGUAGGCAACCUGCCUGUAAGCUUGGGAUAACUAUCGGAAACGAUAGCUAAUACCGAAUAGGUGUGAGGAACGCAUGUUCUUCACUGGAAAGGCGGAGCAAUCUGCCACUUACGGAUGGGCCUGCGGCGCAUUAGCUAGUUGGCGGGGUAACAGCCCACCAAGGCGACGAUGCGUAGCCGACCUGAGAGGGUGAUCGGCCACACUGGGACUGAGACACGGCCCAGACUCCUACGGGAGGCAGCAGUAGGGAAUCUUCCGCAAUGGGCGAAAGCCUGACGGAGCAACGCCGCGUGAGUGAUGAAGGUCUUCGGAUCGUAAAGCUCUGUUGCCAAAGAAGAACGGCGUGGAGAGUAACUGCUCUGAGUUUGACGGUAUUUGAGAAGAAAGCCCCGGCUAACUACGUGC